GGGAUGGAACCUGCAUCCCCUGCAUUAGAAGGCGGAUUCUUAACCACUGGACCACCAGGGAUGUCCCUCAUUUAGUCUUUUUUUCACCUACUUUUUGCCACCUGGGAAAUGUUAAUGGUAUUUUAUGAUGUGUAGGUAUAAUCACACCAUAAUAGUAUAUGUCCUGUUAUGCAAUAGAGCCAUGAUAUUGUGUGAAUUGAAUUUGUAUAAGUUACAUCAUGUUUUGUCACUGAUUUAUAUUAUUAAUUUCAGGGGUACUAUUUCAUUUCAGAUUGAUCUUAAUUGGCAAGUACUUCUGACACCUUUUAAAUGUAUGGCUCAAGCACAUUGUCAUGUAAUUUUACAUAUAUCAGCUCAUUCAGUUCAAUUUGCAGUUGUGCUAGACAUGUAAUAGUGCCCACCAUGCCCCGAUCCCUCCAGGCAGCUCCAUUUUACUGACUACAUAUUACCUGCAUUUCCUCAGUCACAGCUAAUUGGAUGAGGCGGGGACAGAACACGUUGCCCACAUGCAGCCUCUCCGUAGCUGGCCAACACACUAUGGAGUGGCCUGUCAUGAAAUGGGAAUGUCCUCUUUCAUUUCAUUCCAGAUUGAGGAAUAAGCAUUUCAGAGGAUUUUGGUUUUCUCUCUUCUAGGAACUUGAACUGGGAAAUAUUUCAAGAAUAAGUCAGUGAGAAUGGAAGCUAAAUGAAUGCCUAGAGACAGGAGCCAUAAGGGAUCAGGAAAAAGUCUCUAAAGAGCCAGAUGGAUUUUGUGGACCACACAGUUUCUGUUGCAACUACUCAACUGUGCCAUUGUAGCCAGUAGAGACCACAGACAAUAGUGAAUGAAUAUGACUGUGAUCCAAUAAAGCUUUAUUUACUUAUUUACUUAUUACUUAUUUUGUAUUUACUUACAAAAAAGAUUUAUUUAUUUAUGCAGGUCAUAUUGGACCCAUAGGCCCAAAGUUUGCCAAUCCCUGGUCUAGAUCAUGAGGUAGGGCCAUGAUAUUUCGUGGCAGGCUGAAAUGAUGAGAAAUCAAGAACAAUGUGGUAAAGAGACAAUGCCGAUGGUAGAGAGGAAGAAUUGAUAGUAGAUGACAGGAAACACAAGUGGACAGUGGAGGAGUCUUAGGGAGGUGGCCAACUCAGAUUAAUGGUAAGUACUAGAGUGAAGAUCCACAAACUCUUACUGAACUCACAACUUCUGUUUUCUUUUCUUGGAGUUGAGCCAUUAUGCUAUUGAGGAAGGUUAGACUAGACCACCUGAAGGCUACGCAAAGAGAGACCUUGGAGGGUGCGAAGUCACCUUGGAUGUUCAAGCUUCAGAUGAGCUCAGAUGCAUGAGAGAUUCCAGUGUUCUUCAUCCCUUCCUGAAGUCUGUUUCCAUCUGGCAUCAUUUAUCCUCAUCCUGAAGAACUUCCUUUGGUCUUCAGAUUGGGAGAAGCUGCACACAGGGGACGGGACCCAAGGAGCCUCAGCCACCCCUGGCCCUGAUGUACGUGUCCAGAUCAUGGACCUCAAGCCUGAUGCUACCGUAGGUACAAUGUUUUAGGGAUCUAGAGAGAGGUGAGUAAGUAUAUCUUACAUGUAGGGGGAAAUGUAAAUAAUUCAUGUUCAAUGGGCAGAUUGUGAGGUCUUAAAACAUGUCCGCAAAUUCUUUGAUAUUCUUGCCAACAAAAGAUGCAGCCUAAUUCCCCUUCCCUUGGAAGUGGCUGGCCUCAGUGACUUGCUUCUAACAAAUAGAACAUGGCAGAAGCAAUCCUGUAUGACUUCUCAGAUGAUCACAAAAGAAGAGGCAGCUUUUGCCUUGUUUCUUUUCUCUUGGCAUGUUUGCCUUUGGAAUCCAGCCACCACUGUGGUAGGCGGCCAAGCAGCCACAGGGAAGGGCCCUGUGGAGGUGUUCUGGCCACAGCCCAGCUGCUGUCCUGGCUCCCAGCCAGCAUCACCUGGCAACCUGAAAAACGACAAGAAGGAAAGUCGGUGAUGGCACCUUGAAGGCGGGAGCUUCCUUCUUGGAUAACACAUGACCUUUCAAAUGUCAGCCAGGACAUGAUUUGGUGCAUAUGUACCUUCAGAUACUUAAUAAAUGGAUGAAAAUCACUUCGUUAAUAUUCAGUGUUCUCAUGUCAUUUAUAAAUAAUUCCAACAGUAACCUUUUUCCCUGGGAAAACACCUGUACAGUGUUGACUCUGAUUACUCCCUGUGGAUAUUGUUUAGCUAAAAAUUAAUAUAUCAUACUUUCUAGAAUGACAGACUGUGGACUGGAAUAAGAGAAAACAGUAAUUUAUAAGAUGGAGUAAUUAUUGGAGGAUCCAGUUGGGGCGGGCUUUUCGAUGAAUCAGCGAAGAUGAGCUUCUUGGAAGUGCUGACACCGGUGACCUACCUCCACAUUCUACAAGUGCCUCCAGAGCAGCUGGAUCUCUUAGCCAAUACUGUCAGGGCAGCUCAAAAUUAGCCAUUCAACACAUCAGUGGUUCUCAAGGUUUAAUGUGCCUACGAAUCACCUGGCAAAUGCAGAGCCUGUCAGUAUGCAGAUCUGGAGUGGAGGCCGAGAUUCUGAUUGUCAAACAGGCUCCCAGGUGACGCUGCGGCUGGUCAGUGGACCACGUGUGAAGAACAAAGACAAAGGUUACAUUCCCCACUACUGAGGACACCUGUGUCUCCUCUUGCCCAGUUACCUAAAACAUGAUGACUUCACAAAUAAAGGGUAAGGUUGAACCCUUCCUGCUUUCUCGCGAGAAGCAAGUUGUUGGAGCAAGCUGAACCAACACAGAGACCCACAGGGCAAAGAACUGAGGGCUGCAGCCAGCAACCGGACAGGAGCCAAGCAGCCUUCAGCCCAACAGCCCCGGGGGAACGGAUUCCCUCCAACAACCAAGUGAGUGCAUUUGGAAACGGAUUCUUCCCCACAAGAUAACUGCGGCCCCUGCCCACGUCUUGAUAGCAGCCUUGUCAGAACCCCGAGCCAGAGGACCCAGCUAAGCCACGUCUGGAUUCCUGACCCAUAGCAACUGUGAGAUAAUACAUACAGCAGGCAACUUUGCAUGCUCACUGGAAGAGAGUGUGUGAAGGCAAGAAAAAAGAAAUCAUUCUUCACCUCUGAGUUCCAAUUUAGAUUCUUAAAACUAAGAAGAGAAAUGAAACUAAUCUUGGCUUCCCUGGUGGCGCA